CUAUGAAACAGUUCUCCAUAUUUCACUUUUUUAUCACAGAAAUGUAUAAUCACUCCUGAGUUCCAAACUGCUAACUAUAUACUACUCUUUCAUUCUCAUAUUAUAAUAGCAACACACCCAUUCCACUGUUUUUAAGAAUUACCAUUUACCAAGAUUGGAGGCACUAUAGGUAAAAAUAGAAAUCUAGAAGGAGGAAAUCUACUUCAAGAUAUAAUAUAGGUGUAACAGCUAUAGAAAAUAUUUUCAUGUGGCAUUCUACUGUAGAUUAUCCAACUUUUUUUAAACAAUUGUCAUAAUUUUCAGGUAAAUGGCUAGAGGUUAAAAAUCUGAGGAUAUAUAUUAAUUAGUUGAACUCAUAUGACUUAUAGCUAUUUAAGGUGUGCAUUAUCCCUCUGCCUUCUCAGAGGCUAUUAUUGCUUUAAGGGCUGAAGCCUACACAAGGCAGCCAAGAAUGGGACAGAGACAGCAGGGGCCCACUCUAAAGCUGCUGAGUCCAUCUGUCAUAGCAAGGAUGUUAGCAUUUACUUUAAAAUCGAAUUUCCAUUCCAAAAUGUAAUUUCACCAACCACUAACUCUUGCAACAUUAUAUAUUUUUACCCAGAUGCUAUUUCUGGAGCUGUUAGUCAUGACUAGCUCUGCAUUAAAAUUUGACUGAAGCUGCAUGUAUGUAUUAAAUCAUUCUUUUCAAUUAGGGCAUGAACAAGAUGAACUUUUCCUCACAAAUUGAUGUGGAUGAUCUGUCGCUGCAGGCUUCAUCUUCAACAUUGUCUUGUCCCUUCUUAGAAUGGAUUAUUCAUUUGUAUACUGCUAAUUUGGGAUAGAGGAGCAUUUUCCCCGUAAAGCAUUUCAUAAAGUAUCAAUGAUUUUACCAUUUCUUCCACCCAACUACACCAUAAUUUGAUAUUUGUUCUUGGUCAAUUUUAGCAGAAUUCAUGUUGCUCUGACAAGGGCUUUUGUCAAACUGAUGUCUUACCCAUCUUAGUGACUCAGACUAGAUCUUGUUUAUACAUGUUUUAACAAGGUGUAUGACUUUAUUUUGGUGCAAAAUCUUUUUGAAAUCCAUGAAUAGUUUUUGUAUAAUAUGCAUUUUUAUGAUAUCUUUGAAAACCCUCGUGUGUGUGUGUUUGUGUCUAUGGCAUGCCCUAUAUAUGUGGAAGGAUAAAUCUGUAAAUGCAUGCACUAAUAUGGACUACAGAUGUGAACUAUAUCUCCAUGUACAUAUGUAUCUCUAUAUACAUGUGCAUUUAUGGAUGAAAUAUUUAUUGCCUACUGUGUGUUAAGUGACUGUGCUCUUAGCUAUGCAAAUGAUUUCAACUGAUGUUUUUUCCCUAUCCCAUCUAUUUACUAUCCUCUAACUUGUUCCAAAAAAUAGGAUACAGGAUAAAUAACUGAAAUUGUUUUUUGAAUGAGAUUGCAGUCGAUAUAUGAUUUAGAGGACCAAGCAGGCAAAGAAUUUGUAUAUUCAAUCAAUGCCUCUUAGUUGGUGAUAGUUGUUUUUUUUUUUUUUAUUUUUUUUUAUUUUUUUUUUUUU
rnacentral:lncRNA from 1 species